GCAUGCAUGCUCUUGAGUUUGGAUGUCAGGAAAGACAUGAUGGUGAGCUUGAAGCUGCUGAUCCAUGUGCCUUCAUGUCUGCACUACGAGGCAGGUGGCGGUGGCUAAUUCCAGCGGCUAUUGGCCACUCCGAUGAUUUGUGAUGUCAUAUUUUCCUUGUUCAAUCUCAAAACAUGAACAAAUUUAUAUGACAGAUAUAUAUCUUCAGAGUUCAGACCAAAGCAGAAAAACAAAAUCCUCCGAUUUCUUCUCUUUCUUCUUUCUUUUCCUUGUUUUUCCAUCUUCUUUUUCUUCUUCUCCAGAUCUGCAACAUUUUCAUACCUAGUUUGUUGUUGAGCAUAGUGGAUCGGCUUUCUUCCUCUCUCUCUAUUAUCUUCGAACCCAAAUCCGAUCCCCAAUCUAAGAAAAAGAUAGUUUGAUAUCAGAUCUUUACUUGAUCCCUUAUCUCGAUAUUAUGCUCAAAUCGUUUAGGAUCUUGAAUUGUUUUUAAUCUUCUUGGGUCCUGUUGUUUGUUGUGGAAUAGAUGUGUAGGUUUAUGAAAAUAUUUGCGAGAUCUGGGUUUUGCAGAAUCUUUGUGAGUAGAAAUCGGAGGUGGAGGUGAAAGAGAGCUAUCCUGGGUUUCAGCACACGAAAAAUUUGAAACACGUACAGCUUAGAAGGAGCGAGCCAAGAGGACAAGUAUUGAUGUGUGGACUUGCUUUGAUUAUCAGCCUCAGCAAAAGAGCGUUGAAUGUUGGUUUUCCAGAGAGUACAACUUCGAAAAGAAAGGAGCAAAACAAAAUAGUAGCAGCUACAUUUUUCUUUUCUUAUUGUGUUGUUGUAUUAUUUUUUUCGUUGUUCCCUUGUAAAUAUUUACUGGGAGAGUAUUGGCGUUCAUCCUCCGCUCCCUCCCUGUAUCAUUUCUCGAAUAAAUUGGAUAUUUUGAUGA